rnacentral:rRNA from 1 species
UACGUAGGGGGCGAGCGUUGUCCGGAAUCAUUGGGCGUAAAGCGCGUGUAGGCGGCUCGAUAAGUCUGCUGUGAAAGUCCAGGGCUCAACCCUGGAAUGCCGGUGGAAACUGUUGAGCUUGAGUCCGGAAGAGGCGAGUGGAAUUCCUGGUGUAGCGGUGAAAUGCGCAGAUAUCAGGAGGAACACCAAUGGCGAAGGCAGCUCGCUGGGACGGUACUGACGCUGAGACGCGAAAGCGUGGGGAGCAAACAGG